GGUUCUUUUAUCGCUGAAUCUAACACAAGGGAGGAGACGUGGAACUGAUUGGUUAGAUGACCGAUUCUUCGUUAUUAAGAGGGAUUCCGAUAUGUCAAAACAAGAUACAGGGGUCAUGAUUGCGAGGUAUCCCGAUGGGCCGAAAGGAGAUAGAGGGGUCAUGAUGUACAUUGCGAGAAAAAUCAAACGGUUGGCCCCUAAUGUGUUCUGGGGGUGAGCUGCAUUUAGUCGACAUAUUGGGCUUUUGUGGUACAGAUUCAUAUUAUAAAUAGAUGAUGUCUGUCCAAUA